rnacentral:rRNA from 1 species
CCUACGGGAGGCAGCAGUGAGGAAUAUUGGUCAAUGGUCGUAAGACUGAACCAGCCAAGUAGCGUGCAGGAUGAAGGCUCUAUGGGUUGUAAACUUCUUUUAUGCGGGAAUAAAAUGCGUGACGUGUCACGUUUUGUAUGUACCUCAUGAAUAAGGACCGGCUAAUUCCGUGCCAGCAGCCGCGGUAAUACGGAGGGUCCGGGCGUUAUCCGGAUUUAUUGGGUUUAAAGGGAGCGUAGGCCGCAUGUUAAGCGUGCGGUGAAAUGCCGUGGCUCAACCAUGGCAUUGCUGAGGGAACUGGCUGGCUUGAGUGCGCGGAAGGUAUGCGGAAUGCGUGGUGUAGCGGUGAAAUGCUUAGAUAUCACGAAGAACCCCGAUUGCGAAGGCAGCCUACGGAAGCGCUACUGACGCUGAUGCUCGAAGGCGUGGGUAUCGAACAGGAUUAGAUACCCGUGUAGUC